GGAGGCGUAGCUCAGUCGGUAGAGCAACGGACUUUUAAUCCGUAGGUCCUGGGUUCGAGCCCCAGCGCCUUCA
rnacentral:tRNA from 1 species